rnacentral:rRNA from 1 species
UACGUAGGGCGCGAGCGUUGUCCGGAUUUAUUGGGCGUAAAGAGCUCGUAGGCGGCUUGUCGCGUCGACUGUGAAAACCCACGGCUCAACUGUGGGCUUGCAGUCGAUACGGGCAGGCUAGAGUUCGGUAGGGGAGACUGGAAUUCCUGGUGUAGCGGUGAAAUGCGCAGAUAUCAGGAGGAACACCGGUGGCGAAGGCGGGUCUCUGGGCCGAUACUGACGCUGAGGAGCGAAAGCGUGGGGAGCGAACAGG